GAUGUUCAAUUAAAUGUUUUGUUCUACAUCACUAAACAAUUAAAUCUCAAAAUACAAUGUGAAAUAUUUUCCCCAAAUAUUAAGAAUACAAUAAGUUAUUGAAGAAAAGAAACAGAAAAUUAUCUGACUAAACAUUCAGUUUUGGCAGAUUUGAUUGUGGUUUCAUAGUGAAUCAGUAUGUUCAAAUAUGUGGAUAAAUAAGUGUCUCAUAACUAUAACUAUCAGAUAUUUCCCCUGUCUAUAUUGUAGUAUGAUUGUAUCAGUGGCAUUUUAGCUGGUUUAAGAUGGAAGUAGCUGGAAGUAGCUGGUUUUAGCUGGUCUCCCAGCCUAACCAAGCUGGUGUCCAUUUGACCUAAUUACAUAUUAAUCGGUUUGUUUCACUUACUGACCAGGUUCAAUUCAAGGUAAGUUUAGUAUCAUAAUCAGGUAGGUUAGAUGAUACAGCUUAAAUUAUUCCAGUUGUUAACGAUAAUAUAUCUGAGAAGAGUCUAAAACAAAAUUAUUAAAGUGGUUUCACAAAUAAAUUCUAGUAUAUCAUAGUAUAUCAUAAAAUCAAGUAUAUCAUAAAAUCAAGCUAGCGCUCAAAAUAUCAGCAUAGAACUCAAAUCAGAUUAAAUUAUUGUCUGAAGAAAUACAUUCACCAUAGUUGUAUGACCAAAUAUAGUGUUGUGGUAUUGAAUAGACUUUUACACAAAAUAGAAAUGAAACAAACACAACGUCUUUAUAUAAUAAAUAAUCACCUGCAAUUAAAAAAACACUAGAAGAAAACAAAAACAAUAUCUUUAACAAGAAAUGCUUAAAGCAUAAUCUGAUCAUGUGGGUCACGAUUCAGGCAGGAACAGACGAACAACGACGUAGUGAAACGAACAGUCUUUAAUAAUCCACAAGGAAACACGGGAAACUCGGAAAACACAGGAACACAGGGUGGUAACAUUAAGGUCUGACAACAGAGGAGGGUAAUCACACACAUUAAAUAGACAGACUGAUUAACACACCAGGUGCAGACAAUGAGGGAGAGACCAAAACACACAGAGCUGCAGGGGGAAUUGAUGGGAGAAACCAACUAAACAGUCCAGGGGUGUGACACACGUGUGUUACAGAGUGAGUGAAACGGGAGGCGAGCGGAUCCAUCUGCAAGCUUUUAUUAAUGGGACGAGGCAGAGACAUGGUCAAACAGGCAGGGUCGUAACGACAACAAACAGGUAUGCAAGGGCUACGCACAAUAGAAGUCCGUGAGACAGGCGUGGGUCGAUCAGUGGCGAACUUAAUCCAAGACGUGAGAAAGACGAGUAAUCCUUAACGAGCAAGAGUCCAGAAGGCAGGUGGCGAGACAGUCAAGACGAGAUGGCCAGGCGAGGGAAAUAAACACAGGGAAACUAGGAAACUAGGAACGCUAACAAUGAAAACAACAACAAUGCACCGUGGCUUGCAUGGGGAAAGACCGGGGCUUUUAUAGCGCGCCUGAUUGGUCCCAGGUGCUGACCCAGUCAGCGCGCUGCAUGACGGGAGAUGUAGUCCGGGGUGUGGUGCAACAGUCUGAGUGUGAGGAUAAGGUAAGAGCGACAUCUGGUGGUGAGCGGUCCACAGCUCACCGACCAGAUCCGUAACAACGUGGUGGUUUGACGCAAAAGUACAGCAUAAUGCUGUAAAUUUCAAAUCUACAGAGGCGGCAUUUUCUUCAACGGUCACAUUAAGGAGCAGCAAUAAGUACGAUUCACAACUGCGGUAAGUGAUUUAUUUCACUUUUUAUUGCUCAUGUUUGGUAACUGCAGUAGUAUAUUGGUGUCUACUUUUGUGGAAACCGCAGAUUAACGAAUCCUCUGUCCGCAGGGCGUGAGGGAGACUUGUGCCGGGUUUAAGGAGCGCGGUCGCGGGUGAAUUUCACACAUUCCCCACCCUCAUAGUGGCUAUAGGCAGAAAAUCUCUGGGUUCCAACAGUAAUAAUUACACACUUCAUUGACAACAGUUGUGAUUUACGGGAACGUCAUGUUGUUCAGCACACUUUCUCAUGAUUAUUUUAUGAUGUAAAUCAAAUUUGCACAAGCAGUCAUCUGUUAACAGGGGCGCCGAAAUGAAACGCAUGACGUUACUUAAAGGGGUCAUCGGAUGCUAAGUUCACUUUUUCAUGUUGUUUGAACAUUAAUGUGUGUUGGCAGUGUAUGUACAAAUCUACCCUAUAAUGAUAAAAAUCCAUACAGCGGUUUUUAAUUAAUCUGUAAAAAUAAUAUUCCCUUUUUUAAAAAGAGUCAUUCUCAGAUGUCUGUCUGUGUGGCGUCACACUCACAGAGGCCGCUCCCACGAUAGUUGAUUAACAUGAGCGAUUUACCUCAAAUCAGCUGUAACAGUCCGCCCUUUUUGUUUCGAUGCCGGAGCAGGGAUGUAAGUUAGACAAGAAUAUCUCUGAUUGAGUGAUUGAGGUGUUGUGUUGCUGGAUGUAAUAAUGAACAUAGUGGUCGUCAUUUACUCCCGAUAUCUGAGCCGCUGAAGAUGCACUAGAUUAUGUUUGUUUGUGAAGGGAAUGCACCUCCCAAUCUACAUAUAUCCGUCUAUGUUCGCGCGAAUCAUUCAUGGUCCAGUUUCAUUUACAGCAAAAGUGAGUAUAAGGGGUUUUUUAUGAAUCUUUCUGAUCGCCUUUCUUUAUAACGUGGUAGUUAGGAAGUUUAGCGGCUAAACGCGGCUACAUGCAGCUAAUGUAAACAAGACCAUCUUUUCACAGAGAGAAGAGAGGGGCGGGGUGAGCAAAGCUCAUUUGCAUUUAAAGGAACAGCCCCUUAGAAUGAGAUGAUUUUUGCAGAGCUCAUUUUGACAAGGUAAAAAGGGUGUUGUUUUACAAAACCAUUAAGAAUUUUUAAUCAAAGUAUAUUAGAGACUUUUCAUUAAGACCCUAAAGAAUCAUAUCAACUUGUGGAAAAUGGGCAUCCGAUGACCCCUUUAAGUCUUGCAACUCGCGGUCAUCCCGCUCACGGAGGAUGUAAACUGUCACGUAAACUCUGAAGGGUGCUGUUAAAGCGGUUUAACGUAAGCAGCGAGAUGUGCGAGAACCUUUGAUAACUUGCUAAUUCGCUUAUUGUUUGAUUGUAAUGCUUUUGUUAGCUUUGUUUUAAAGAAUGAGUUAAACCAAAAUGUUAACCAAAUUUUCCUGCCUGGACUUUUCGGAGCAUAUAUUCACUCUGGAGUAACCUUACCAGGAGACAGACAGAGAUUUGGAGUUCAUUCAAAGAUAUUUAAGAGGAACAAAGAAGUCGAAAGGUGUUACAAUCACCAGGUGGAUCCACACCUCAGCCCUCUCAGUCGUCCAUCGUUACAAAAGGAAAAGUGCCAUCUAAAACAACAGGGCAAAUGGUACAGAAGAAACCGGUUGAAGUGAACCCAAGUUGCCACUCUUCUUUGCAAAGUGAAGGAUUUUCAGCAGAAUUUCUGAAAUUCUAUUUCAGUGACUGGUGGAAACAAAAGGAGCCUGAAAGAAGAGAGAGAGAGAAGAGGGAGAAACAAGUGGGGCAUUACAUAUCCCCAAAAAAUGCAAGAUAUAAUAAAAAAGAAAAGAAAAAUGAAAAUGCAUAAUAUGUUUAGAAUUCUGUUAUUGUUCAUAUUCACCAUUAAUUGUUAAUAUAGUUUUAGAAUUGUAAUCGUUCCAAUUAUUUUGUAAAUAUUUUGUAAAUAUUUGUUAGAAUAUAAUUUUUUAAAGGGGCUGUAAGAUCAAAUAAAAAUUGUUUUAAUGGUUCCUUGUGGUCCUGCAGACCAUUAAAAGUAAACUUGGAAUUAUUUUUAUUAUUUGUUGCAACACCCCUUGACAGGAAAAUUGGGGCAGACACUAUGUAAUCAAUCAAUCAAUCA